GUUAAAAGUUUAGAACUUUAAAAGCCAUAUAAUGCAUAAAGUAAAUAUUUAAAAUUUUAUAAUUUCAAACUUUCAAGUUUCAAAGUUUAAUUUGUACAUUAUUGCGGAUUUAAAUUAUAAGUUAUAUCCACUGCAUAUAGGUUGUGAGAUAAAAUGGUAAUUCAAAAACUGAAAAACGUACCAGGAUGUGGUCCAAUUUCUUGGGCUAUAUACCCAUCCACCCUAUGACCAGCACGCCUUAAAAAUGUAAAUAUUCGAGUAGGGCUCAUAUCUGUAGCAAGUUCCUGAAGGAAGUUCCUAAUUGCAUCAGAGUUCUGUAUUCUUGCUCUAGUUGGUAAAUAAAUCCAUGAGAAGUAGUUGUAUAACGGAAUAUGGUAAAUUAUGCUAUUAUAGAUACACCUACAUUUAAAUUGUUCUUAGCCUGACGAAAUUCAGUAUACUGCUGGUUUUCCAGAAAUUGUAACUGAACUGUAAUAAAUUAAACUGCUGGUCCCAUUGUUAUGAACCAAUAUCCCCAAAUGUAAUUGAACAUAAAUGGGUUUAAUUGCAAUGCCAAAUAUGGGAAUUGGUUUACAUACUCAACAAUGCUAUGAAACCCAUCCUCCAUUGAAGGCAAAACAUCACCAAUUUGUGUAGCUGUGGAAGGUAUUUGCUAUUUACUUGACAGUAAUGAAAGUAACACCCUUGGUGUUUACUUUCCGGAAAAACUAAAUUGACUGCAUUGAUUAGCCCUAGCUCAAAAUCAGUAAUAAUUUUGAGCUGAUCAUAACAUAAUGGAAGCACAUUUCUUAUGUACUGUAGUAAUUCAACAUAAAUUUGUUGAGUUUUUCCAAUCAAAAUGGCAUGAACUAAAGGGAAGCUCUGGAACAACAUAUUGUAUUACAUUAUUCUAUAGAAUUUAUUAUGUCCUUGAGGGUUUUGCAGUGUCAUUGCAAAAUGUUCAUUAUCAGCAGCUGUCAACAAAUCGUGCAAAUGUGCCAUGUUUCGUGGAGUCUGCGGGAAAAACUUACGUCUUAUACGCCGCAUCCUCUCUACACUCUGUAGAAAGGUAUAAUUUUCUGCAGCUUCUGGAAAACUAAUUCAUACAUCAUAUCAAACUCAAGUAAUCAAGGAUAUCAAAACUAACCAUCACCUAUGCAUAGUUACAUAACUUAUGUACAAUAUGUAUUGUUAUUUACAAAAUAAGCAAAAAUUCAAGUUUAUAGCCCUUUCAGUUAUCUCCUGUCGAAGCAGUGGAACAUUGAGAUUAAGUUCCCUGACAUGAUGAAAAUGUUGCUUCGACAGUGUCAACCUAUCAUCAUUGCGGUCUGGAGAUAUGUGAGCAGUUGCCCGGCACUGUCCUUCCAAUUUCUUUUCGUAACAUGCCAAGUAACUAAAAAUACAUAAACCCAAGAUUGUCUCUUAUAAUUUCUGUGCCCCUUUGAACUCCUAAAACUACGGUGUAGGAGUGUGGUCUUUCUACAGCAACCGGAAGCAGAGGUUCUAUCAAUUAAAAAUAAAGUGUUACCUUAGAAGCAUAUUAAAUGGCAAUCCGGAAUCCAGAACGUCAAUAGAUUAUAAAACUUCUGUAUCUGUGAUUUAAAUUAGUAAAGAAAAACACUCACAAUCAAGGCCGUAUUUAAGCUUUUGUCACUCGUGAGCAACAUAAUUUUGGCGCCACUGGCUUUGGAUAUAAUUAAUUUUUCUUAUUUCAGUAUUUUUACACAAUAUUUAUUAUUCACACAAAAUCAAAAAUAAGUGUCUUAUGAUUAACUAAAUAUAGUUAUAAACUAUAAUAUAAUAUGACAAACUUUUAUAGAAGACUAAAUUGUAUUAUUACUUUAUUUUUCUAGCUACUUUGCCCAUAAAUUAUGUUUGAAAAAAAUGUAUAUACCAUAUUUCUACUAAUUUUAUUAUAGUAGUAAUAUAUUAUGUAACCAAUGGCAUUUUUUUUUUAAAAAACAAAACAAUUUUUCGCUUCACUUUAAAAAUAUUUCACAGUUGUUGAUUGGGAACCAAUAUUACACAAUUUAUUUAUAUAUUUAUUAAUAAUUAAUAAUUUUCCAUUGAGUGUUUGAAAACAUAAUUUUAUUUUAUUAUAAUCGCUGUAAAAAUACUGUUGCUCCCUAACAUAAACCAGCUAGGGUAGCUGACCCUGGCUAUUGCCCUCCCAAACCACCCCUUAAUUAUGGCUCUGCUUACAAUCAUGAGUAAUAAUCAAUAUAAAUAAUACAUGCAAUACUUUCAGGGGAAGAAGGAUGUACAUUUAAUAUAUUUUAUUUACAAUUAAAAAUUUUGUAUAUUGCAUACAUACCAUUAUAUUCGACAACAGGCUCAUCUUGUACACCAAAAUAAUUAUGAUCAUGAUUGAUGAUGUCUAGACAGUUAACAGAGACAAUUGUUGUGAAUACAUUCAGAAAUGAAGCUGCUUAUCAUUUAGUACCAAUUAAUAAAUAAAUAACUCAAUAAUUCAUCUAAAUCAAAUUGUAUUUGACAAUUGACAAGCGGAUUUAGGAAUAUCAUCAAGUAAAUAUUAGUAAAAUGUUGUUUGGUUAUUGUUAAUUUAUUGUUGAAAUGUUGACAAUGUUUAACUCUUAAUUUAAAAUUUUAAAUAUAAAAAAUGAAAUAAAUAUUUUUUAUGUUAUAUUUAAAUAAUUGUAAUUAUUGUUAUAUUAUUGCCUGUAUAAUAUAGUGGAAUAAGUUGUAUAAAA